CUUCAAGAUCAAAACGUCGGUACAACCACUACAAGAAAAAGGUUGUUUAGCUAGGAGAAUCUGUGAGGUGGUUAACCCCUCACUAAAUUUUGACAUUGCUUGGUAGUUACCCCGUCGCAAACCUCAAAUCAGAAAACAAAAUUAAAAAAACAAUUAGUGAGGGGGUUCCCCUCGCAAAAUAAAAAGAGGGAUUUUUGAAUUUUGAAAAUUUUUACCGCUUUGCAAUCAGUGAGGGGGUACCCCUCACAAAUUCUGACUUCGCAAUCAGUGAGGGGCUGCCCCUCGCAAAUGCUGACCAAUUGUCCCAUCACUCAUUUCUUGUGCAGCGUGUCAGUUGGUCUUAAAAAAUGUUUACAAUUUGUGAAGGGCUUCCCCCCCCCCCCCCCCAACCAAUUGCACAAUAUAAUUAUCCACUUCUCUUCACUUUCUCCCAUCCACUUCACUUUCUUCAAUUUCUCCCAUCUUCAUAUUAUUUCUUCUCCAUUUCUCCCAUCUUCAUAUCCUUUCUUCUCUCUAUUAUCAUUUCCUCCCAGUAAACACUUAAAAACUAUUUAUAUCAUCCAAAGCAACCAAAAAGUUCAAAUCUAUAUUGUUGUGUGUUCAUCCAAGCCACCUCACUGUAUCACGGAAGACAGUAUCCUUCAAUGAAGCAUUGGUAACAUGAAAGAGAGAACAUAUCUUUUGGACUAGAUUGUGUGGGGCUCAAUGUUUGUGGCUUGCAUAUCUUAGCAAUUGUGACAACUCUUACGAACAAUAUCCAAGUAAUUUUGUAAGAGAUCAAUAUAAUUGAAUGAUAUUUAUAUUUAUGAAUUGAAUUUAUCUUCAAGAGUCGUGCC